GACGAACGCUGGCGGCGUGCUUAACACAUGCAAGUCGAACGCUGAAGCUUGGUGCUUGCACUGGGUGGAUGAGUGGCGAACGGGUGAGUAAUACGUGAGUAACCUGCCCUUGACUCUGGGGUAAGCCUGGGAAACUGGGUCUAAUACUGGAUACGACAUGUCACCGCAUGGUGGUGUGUGGAAAGGGUUUUACUGGUUUUGGAUGGGCUCACGGCCUAUCAGCUUGUUGGUGGGGUAAUGGCUCACCAAGGCGACGACGGGUAGCCGGCCUGAGAGGGUGACCGGCCACACUGGGACUGAGACACGGCCCAGACUCCUACGGGAGGCAGCAGUGGGGAAUAUUGCACAAUGGGCGGAAGCCUGAUGCAGCGACGCCGCGUGAGGGAUGACGGCCUUCGGGUUGUAAACCUCUUUCAGCACGGAAGAAGCGAAAGUGACGGUACGUGCAGAAGAAGCGCCGGCUAACUACGUG
rnacentral:rRNA from 1 species